CAGAGACUGCAAGCGUUAUUCGGAUUCACUGGGCGUAAAGGGUGCGCAGGCGGUUGGGUGUGUCAGAUGUGAAAUCCCGAGGCUUAACCUCGGAACUGCGUCUGAAACUACUCGACUAGAGUACUGGAGAGGGUAACGGAAUUCACGGUGUAGCAGUGAAAUGCGUAGAUAUCGUGAGGAACACCAGAGGCGAAGGCGGUUACCUGGACAGUUACUGACGCUCAGGCACGAAAGCAUGGGGAGCAAAAGGGAUUAGAUACCCCUGUAGUCCAUGCCCUAAACGGUGCACACUAGGUCUUGGCGGAUUCGACCCCACCAGGGCCCAAGCUAACGCGUUAAGUGUGCCGCCUGAGGACUACGGUCGCAAGACUA
rnacentral:rRNA from 1 species